UACGUAGGGGGCAAGCGUUGUCCGGAUUUACUGGGCGGAAAGAGCGUGUAGGCGGCCACGCAGGUCCGUUGUGAAAACUGGAGGCUCAACCUUCAGACGUCGACGGAAACCGUGUGGCUAGAGUCCGGAAGAGGAGAGUGGAAUUCCUGGUGUAGCGGUGAAAUGCGCAGAUAUCAGGAAGAACACCAAUGGCGAAGGCAGCUCUCUGGGACGGUACUGACGCUGAGACGCGAAAGCGUGGGGAGCGAACAGG
rnacentral:rRNA from 1 species